GGGCCGGUCGUCUAGUCUGGUUAGGACAACAGCAUCGAGCGGCGUAGGUCCCAGGUUCAAAUCCUGGCCGGCCCACCA
rnacentral:tRNA from 1 species